UAAGCGCCACCCGGUCGCGCGCAGUCACGGUUUGGUGUUUGGGGUUUCGUCUCCUCAUCAUCAUCAUGACACCAGACAUCACCCCCAAUGAGGCUUCGAACGGAGCAUGCUAAGAAGGGAGGGGGUACCGCCUCCGCCUUGGCCUUAGCCGCGGGCCUCCGCCUCUCCGGCCGCUCCUGCGCUACCUGCGGUGGCCAGGGCGCCGCCGCGGCCGCCUCCGCCUCCGGCGGCGGGGGCAGGGGCUGCAAUUGUACUUGGGAGACUUCUCCGGUAGCCUCAGCACACGAGUUCCUCUGCUUCGUCUGCCCGUCUUCGCCGUCUUCUGCCUCAGAGUUCAAAAGUGUGGGUCUUCUAUGGUCGAGCUACAGAAACUCCAACGGUUCCGCGCUUUGUGCUAACGUUACGAACUGUGUCCUCGGCCCUUCUGCUACUAACGACACUACGAGUACUUUCUCAAACCCUUUUUCUAACUGUUUAGUUUAUUGUUACCCUUCUAGCAUAAGGAACGUGGUUGUCAAGUCGAGCAGUGUGUCGUUACACUCCACUAAUUUUGGGUGUGUCUAAAACUCCACCUCGACAUAACGCCACGGAGCCCCCAACUAGUGACCUGCGGAGUCUCUACCUUUCUUUUUUAUAGCUUUAGAGUCCAGUACUACUACUAUGGUCUACACAACGAUUCACGAAAUCCGUUUCGAAAGAACUCGAACCUGUACCAAUCAGAAUACUAUAAACUACUCACGGUAGCACGUUGACCGUUUGUGGGAAUAAGCUCUUAUUACUUCCUGAUGAUAGUGGUUAGACUGGUGUUCGGUUUCCACAAACCAUACUGCCGGAGCGGACAAUAUUCCUUUCCACAGAGAAGAUUAGACCUAACACUUCAAGUCAAGUGACUUGACCUUUUCGAAGAUUUACGAUUCUAGAUGUGACACCGACUAUCUCGUCUCUAUCUCGAAACGCGAGGAAGACGUUUUCUUCACCUGUCUAUGAUACUGGGUUUUUGUCAAACAAAGUUCCUAAACUCACUUCUCAACCCUGAAAACGUAAGACUCAUGCUACGCAAUUAUUGAUGUAACGUCUUAUUCGGAUUGACGGUCUUAUUUCUUAGGCUACUUUAUCGAUUUCUUAGUGCCUCCGCAGAUAGGUUAAGAAGUCGGUUUUAGGACAUAACGUAGCUACUAUAACCAGAAGAAACACGAUCACUCCGGUGGUUUUAGAUGUAACUUUCCCCAGUCUCUUUUCCAACCGACUUCUUUCGAAGACUACGGUGUUUAUAAGUUUCACAACGUUUAUCGAGCAAGGACGAACGUCUUUAAAGUCACGAAGUAGACUUCAAGAAACUCCUAUACAGUACAUAUUAACUGUUCGUGGAGGUCGUUCCAUCGCUACACGAAGAUUUAAGACUCUCACCUACACACCUUCGUUAAUUCUGCCCAAUAUAAAGUGGUUUCGAAAUACUUGAGUAGGUUUAGAAGGUGAGAAAGUCGUUGACACUAGUACAGGCUACGGAGUAAAAACACCUAGCUUUCUAGUGACGAUCUCGGUACCUUGCCUGUUACUUCUUUUAACCUGUGGAGAGUGUAAAAUGUAAAAGAAGAGAAUGACCUCCCUCAAGAAGUCACCUGCGAGACUGGGGAUUUUACGUUUUCCUGUGUGACCUAAGUAAAGCGAGACCUUUCCACUUGAAUGAUAAAUGAUGCCUACAGCGUCUUCUCCCAUAACUACAGUGUCUGACGAGCACACAUUAUUCUAAACUAAACGGUUUCUGAUGGGCAUCAAUAUACGUCAGUGCACCUGCUCGUGCGGUCUUCCUGAGAGUCAUGUAUGAUUACUAACUUUCCCUUUUACAAUUUGUUUUAUUAAACUAUAGACGGUAAAACUCUUCGCUCUUCAGUUACCAACUCUGACGAAACUUGUCUCUAAGGCUCCUAGAUGAGGGACCAAAGAAGGGUCAACUUCUUUUUUUACUUAUGGAACAUCCGUGUUGGCCUCGUUUUCAUUGACGACCAAGAUCGCAAUCACAAUAGCAGGUUAUGACACUGUUCGAAGGUCCUCUGUUCAUGCUGUGGUGUUUUGGAAACAAACUCAAGUGGUUGGUGCCACUACCAAAACACACAUGCAAUUGUGAUGGUAGAUCACUGUACAACGGUGGAAACCACCCAGGUUUUCGUUCUUUGUUCUUCUUUCGUUUUGUCGAACAAACAGAACUACGUACAUUCGUCGACGUAGUCGAUCCUCAUGAAUGACUGAGAGAAACAGAUAGACAACUUCUCGGUGGUGACCUUAGACACUUGUUUUGACUGCAAGAGUGUAGAAACCGACCACAUCCAUGUUGGUUUGCUUUCCUCGAUGUACCAUGUUGAUCUCAUACACCCAACAGACCAUGGACCCGUAGUCUCUCUUGACGACAAUUCGAAGUUCCGAUGUCUUACUUUAAAGAAACACUGGUUCAACCAGUCUUUAUGAGGCUAAAACAAGACAAUUAACUAUUUUGAUAUCGUGUACUUCGACGAUUAAACCUAUAACUAGACAAAGAUGUACUGUUCUACCACUUUCGAAGUCAGAGAGGAACACCGGAAAAACUCAACCUACAAGUUGUCUACCUCGUUCGUUUCGAUAAAGUUCGUGAAGACAAGUUACCAAACAAACCUUUCAACAAGUGACCUAGUUUUAGUAGGCUGCAAGGCGCCCUCAAAUAAGAGUUAUUUCUACUGUGCAAAUAGACCUUAUUAGGUUUAUACAUAAACUAAAAUGGAUACCUAGGAUGACACCUCAGGGUACUAUAAUGUACGUAGUUGACCUCUCACUAACUACUUCGGCGUUGUCGACAAUUUGAAAACUCCUUCUAAAUAAGACUUCUUUUUUACUUGUAUGUCCCUUAUGAACUAAAGCUGGUUUUACUACUUCUAGAUUAAGUAAAGCGGUUGUGAAGUACACUCUGAGUAAAGGAAUCUUUACACCAUCACGACCGUCAGGUGUGUCCUUUCUAUAUAUGACGAGAAGUACAACGGCUAGAUAGACGGUUAUCGUGUAAACUACCACAUAGUCUACUUUUUCCUUGUCUCAAGGCGUGGAAACGUCUUAUGAAACUCUUCUUCAUACCGUAUCAAGAAGCAGUAGGGAGUGUCGGUGAUGAUCACGACUUUGGGUCAGUAUCCGGAGUGUUGUAAGAAAGGAGCUUCGAGUCUCUACUUCCAUUGCCACUCUUCUUUUUCCCACCGUGUAGUCUAUAUUGAUUCCGUUUGUUGGCACAAGUGUACGGGGGUCUCAACGACUAAGGGGAAUUAAAAAGACUACUGUAAAAUUCUUGUAAAAUAAACAAGGGUAGAAACUACGUAGCAUAUCUCCGUAAUUACGAUCGGUCAGUUGAUUUCUCACUUUAAAGUAUACUGCUAAGAUUACAUAGUUCGAAAGACUAAGAUCUUCGAUAGUGUUGAGAAGCUACGAGACUUCUGAAGAGUUACCUCGCAGACCUUAAUAACCCUCUAAGACACAACUUCAUACAGCAAUCAACAGUGGAAAAGGAUUUUAAAGGAUUGUACCUACUCCCCGUCAAUUGUAGGUCAUCCCAACUAUAUUAUAGAUUACGACGUGAAAUACCCAAACCUUAACUUGUGUUUUAUGUCCCAAUAUAUGCACUACGACGUAAACUAGGAGCAGCUACCGAACGUGGUCCUGUCGAGAGGUAAGUAGGACAAGGAACAUUAACGGUUCAUUUAAGACUCCAACAGUGACUCCUAUAAUUACACUUUCAUCCGGUCGACACACUAUUCCCUGUGUCUACCUACACAAGGUUUUGUUAAAGACUAACGCAGCUUCGAUAUUAGCCACGUAUAAUACAUCUUCCACCGAAUUCUCGUCGAUACCGACAAGAGUUUACCAACCCUUAAUUACAACUUCAACUCCUUCUUAACUAACCAGUCAAGAACUCACGUAGACACGUCUGAAUAGAAGGUUUUUUACUACAUUAACUUUUCCAACUUCGUUUUGAUCCGAUACAUAAAAACUACUUUCCAGAAGACGAUCUUCGAGAAUGGGUGGGUAGUGACGUCCUUAGUCGUCUUCCUAUAAGGAUGCUCGCAGACCUCAAGGAACCACUACGACAGAACCUAUAAGAAAAUUGUGCUGUAGAAAAGAGAUCAGUAUUUCUGUGGCUACUCCCCCUCGACUGUCUAAAUGCCAGACGUAGUCAUUUGUUACUUUUAAAACGUGUUGAGCGUCACUUCGUAUUCAAUAUAGUCAAAGAGGUCGUAAGAAGACCCUUUAAUGGUCUUUUAUAAUGACUUAUACACCUAUCAAAUCUCUUAAGAAGGUGCCUGUUUGAGUUGGAAAAUAGUCUACGCCGUAAUUCUCCCGGAUUCCAAGACCCACUACAACAUCUUUCAUAACGCCCACGUUAAGAAUAUCUAUCUUUUGAACUAAACCUCCAUCAAACCCCAUAAAAGUUUGGAGAAGAAAGGGGAUAACAAUGUGGACUCUUCGACCUCAAUGGAGGGAAGUCUCUCGAAGAGCUUACCACGUUGUUUUCACCCAUGAAAGAUCCUUAAUUCACAUGUCUACCUUAAUUCGCAUGUCUACCUCUGUUUUAUCUCCGAUGAGACCUACACGUUGAGUUCCUCUGCGAGGAACAGUCCGUUCCAACACCGUUCUCGUUUUUCCUACGAUUUCGUGUACGUCGAAGGUACAAUGAGUUCCUGGAACUCCUCCUUCCUGAAUAUCAUGGUUUCUUACGUUCGUUGUGCGUUGUCAAGGUCCUAGUAGCAUUGUAAAAACUACGUUACCUAUAUGUUGAAAGUUGUGGUUGGUCCCCUUUCGCUAGUCGACCUAGUUUCUAUCGACGGUCAGAACUAUUUGGUCACCUGACCGGCCACUCUUACUCGUUUCCUCCUGGGGCACGUCCUGACAUACUCAAGACGUUUUUCAAUGUUACCGGUCGAGGGUUAAAGCUAACACGCUUCCAUCUUGUUUCGUGCGGAUGCGGAGUUCCAGUUCCCAAGUGGAAGCGCAGUUGGUAUUUUGACGUGUAUGGCUUAUCACUACACUAGUCGGAGUGUCCCCUAACGAAACGCCUAUUCUUCUCGCGCUACCUAAGGCGGCGUGACGAGUACGAGAUACUCGAAGUCGUCGCUCCCUCUAACGUUCAGGUCCUCUAAGCAGAAGGGACUCUCGGGGCACACCACGAUCAUUUAUAAUGAUCAUCAUAAGGGAUAACUGGCCCGUCCAAAACUUCCAUACACACCGUAGAAGGCUUAUUUACCUACGACUCCUAUGAACACUCUCCGUCUUGUGUCGAUUCGACUGGACCGAGACGACGGUCAGCAAUACAUACAACAUGAAACAAUUUUUCUUUACAUACAACACGAACCGAAGUAUAACCGACUCCGUCCUUUACUACUCGGCUUCACGACGUUCAGGUGACAGAUAGUCAUGAAGUGUCCGAGCCAG
rnacentral:rRNA from 1 species